GCGUUUGCUUUGGCAGCGCAUAUACUAAAAACUGGAACUAUACACAGAAGAUUAGCAUGGCCCCUACAAAAGGAUGAUGCGAAAAUUUGUGAAGCGUUCCAUAUUUUU